CCUACGGGUGGCAGCAGUGAGGAAUAUUGGUCAAUGGGCUUACGCCUGAACCAGCCAAGUCGCGUGAGGGAAGACUGCCCUAUGGGUUGUAAACCUCUUUUGUCAGGGAGCAAUUGGCGCUACGUGUAGCGUUAUCGAGAGUACCUGAAGAAAAAGCAUCGGCUAACUCCGUGCCAGCAGCCGCGGUAAUACGGAGGAUGCGAGCGUUAUCCGGAUUUAUUGGGUUUAAAGGGUGCGUAGGCGGAAUGCCAAGUCAGCGGUAAAAUCGCGGGGCUCAACCUCGCUCCGCCGUUGAAACUGGCGUUCUUGAGUGGGCGAGAAGUAUGCGGAAUUCGUGGUGUAGCGGUGAAAUGCAUAGAUAUCACGAGGAACCCCGAUUGCGAAGGCAGCCUGCCGGGGUGCGACUGACGCUGAGGCUCGAAGGUGCGGGUAUCAAACAGGAUUAGAUACCCGGGUAGUC
rnacentral:rRNA from 1 species